rnacentral:rRNA from 1 species
GACGAACGCUGGCGGCGGGCUUAACACAUGCAAGUCGAACGAAGUGGCGAACGGGUGAGUAACGCGUAAUCAACCUGCCCUUCAGAGGGGGACAACAGUUGGAAACGACUGCUAAUACCGCAUACUGAAGGAGGGGAUUGCGUCUGAUUAGCUAGUUGGAGGGGUAACGGCCCACCAAGGCGAGGAUCAGUAGCGCGUGUGAGAGGAUGAAAGGACACAUUGGGAAUGAGACACGGCCCAGACACCUACGGGAGGCAGAGGUGGGGAGACUAUCGCAAUGGAGGAAAGUCUGACGGAGCAACGCGGCGUGAGUGAUGACGGCCUUCGGGUUGUAAAGAUCUGUUAAUCGGGACGACGUAACGGAAUAGAAAGCCACGGCUAACUACGUGGCAGCAGCCGCGGGAAUUC